AGCAGCCGCGGUAAUUCCAGCUCCAAUAGCGUAUAUUAAAGUUGUUGCAGUUAAAAAGCUCGUAGUUGAAUUUCGGGAUCAAUACGUCGGUCGUGCUUAGGUACGUACUGGCGUAAAUUGAUUUCUCCCUUCUGACGAACCAUGAUGUCAUUAACUUGGUGUCAUGGGAAAUCAGGACUGUUACUUUGAAAAAAUUGAGUGUUUAAAGCAGGCUCACGCUUGAAUACAUUAGCAUGGAAUAAUGAAAUAGGACGUUCGAUCCUAUUUUGUUGGUUUUUAGGAUUCAACGUAAUGAUUAAUAGGGAUAGUUGGGGGCAUUAGUAUUCAAUUGUCAGAGGUGAAAUUCUUGGAUUUAUUGAAGACUAACUACUGCGAAAGCAUUUGCCAAGGAUGUUUUCAUUAAUCAAGAACGAAAGUUAGGGGAUCGAAGACGAUCAGAUACCGNGUAGUCUUAACCAUAAACUAUGCCGAUAGGGGUCGGAUGGAUUGGUUUAAUUUUUUAAUCGUACUUCAUUUCGGC
rnacentral:rRNA from 1 species